CGUAGGUGGCGAGCGUUGUCCGGAAUUACUGGGUGUAAAGGGCGUGUAGGCGGGAAUGCAAGUCAGGUGUGAAAUACCGUGGCUUAACCACGGGGCUGCAUCUGAAACUGUGUUUCUUGAGUGUCGGAGAGGAAAGUGGAAUUCCCAGUGUAGCGGUGAAAUGCGUAGAUAUUGGGAGGAACACCAGUGGCGAAGGCGACUUUCUGGACGAUAACUGACGCUGAGGCGCGAAAGCGUGGGGAGCAAACAGGAUUAGAUACCCUGGUAGUCCACGCUGUAAACGAUGGAUACUAGGUGUGGGAGGUAUCGACCCCUUCCGUGCCGCAGUUAACACAAUAAGUAUCCCACCUGGGGAGUACGGCCGCAAGGUUG
rnacentral:rRNA from 1 species